GGAUCCCAAGAAUCCCUAUCAGGCUGUUAUUGCAGCGCCUGGCUCGGAGCUUGAUCUCACGGUUCAAGAGUCUGAUGUUUAACCAACUGACCCACCCAGGCACCCUAAAUAUGAACGUGUUUGAUGGCUGUUGAUACACAUUAAGAUCAGGAGGUUUUUUCACCCAUGGCUCAAUAACAUAUUCAUUAAUUGUCUCACUUCUGAAAUGAGUAUCACACUAAGGUAGAACUUAAAAUUGAGCCCAUCUUUGGAAACGUAGUCUUUCUGAAACUGGAAAAGUUUUAAGUUGUUUUUUCCCUAAAACAGACUUUAAUGCUUUUUAUUUUUAUUAUUAUUUUUAAUAUUUAUUUAUUUUGAGAGAGAGGGUAUGCGCACACGUGUGUGCAAGGGAAGGGCAGAGAGGGGCAAGGCGGAGGAGGGGCAGAGACAGAGAGGGAGAGAAAAUCCAGGUGGGCUCCAUGCUUUCAGCAUACAGCCUGGCUCAGAGCUUCAUCUCCGGAACCAUGAGAUCAUGACCUGAGCCGAAGUCAAGAGUUGGACACUCAACCGAGCCACCCAGGCACCCUAAAACCCAAGGAAAUUUGUACUUGAUUAUUUAAAUAGGAAAAGUUUAGGGAAAUGAGGGACAACUAACAUGUUAAUUCCUUUUACAAGCAGACCUUGAUUUUGAGGAAAUGUCAUGAGAACUGCAGAAUUUAAGGUCCGCAAUAAAAAAACAUUGCUUCCUGGCUCUUUCGGGUACUCAGUGCCAAUAUCAUCCCUGGAAAGACCAGACCCGGAGCCACCACGGAAAGGAGUGCUAGGCAAAUAUCACAGUGGCUGUGAAUGUCAGUGGAUCCCUUCUCUUGGCAACCGAGAGGAGUACUCGGAAUACUCCCAAAACCAAGGACACAAACCUGUUUCCCCCCCUCGGCUAUUACACUUGGUUCCUGAGAUACUGUUAGUGACAAUUGCCCGCCCCCAACAAUGAGGUGUUCUCUAUGCUAACAUAGUGUAUAAAAAAAGAAUUCUGCGCCUGUAUAGAACUUGGUAAAAAUCAUUCUGAUAGUACAGAACACAAGACUACAGGUAUAAGGAAUGCACAAGCUUCAUUUGGUGCCUCCAUUUUUUUGUAGAUUUGGCUAUUCGCUCGCUUUUCUUCCAGGUGCCUUUUUAGGAAGAGCAAAUUAAGCAGGAAAGGAUGCUCUUCUGAUCUGUAGCUUAUCCUUCCCUUGGGCUUUUUCUGUCUUUUUUUUUUUUAAUUGUUUAUUUGCUUUUGAGAGGGAGAGAGUGAGUAGGGGAGGGGAAGACAGAUGGAAGGACAGAGGAUCUGAAACAGGCUCUGCGUUGAUAGCAGAGAGCCCAACGUGGGGCUCAAACCCAUAAAC
rnacentral:lncRNA from 1 species